rnacentral:rRNA from 1 species
CACGUAGGGGGCGAGCGUUGUCCGGAUUUAUUGGGUUUAAAGGGUGCGUAGGCGGUUUAAUAAGUCAGUGUUUAAAGUCUGCAGCUUAACUGUAGGUAUGGCAUUGAUACUGUUAAACUUGAGUAAAGUUGAGGUGGGCGGAAUUUAUGGUGUAGCGGUGAAAUGCAAUAGAUACCAUAAAGAACACCGAUUGCGAAGGCAGCUCACUAAGCUUUAAACUGACGCUGGAGGCACGAAAGCGUGGGAUCAAA